GACGAACGCUGGCGGCGUGCUUAACACAUGCAAGUCGAACGGAAAGGCCCUGCUUUUGUGGGGUGCUCGAGUGGCGAACGGGUGAGUAACACGUGAGUAACCUGCCCUUGACUUUGGGAUAACUUCAGGAAACUGGGGCUAAUACCGGAUAGGAGCUCCUGCUGCAUGGUGGGGGUUGGAAAGUUUCGGCGGUUGGGGAUGGACUCGCGGCUUAUCAGCUUGUUGGUGGGGUAGUGGCUUACCAAGGCUUUGACGGGUAGCCGGCCUGAGAGGGUGACCGGCCACAUUGGGACUGAGAAACGGGCCAGACUCCUACGGGAGGCAGCAGUGGGGAAUAGUGCACGAUGGGCGGAAGCCUGAUGCAGCAACGCCGCGUGCGGGAUGACGGCCUUCGGGUUGUAAACCGCUUUCGCCUGUGACGAAGCGUGAGUGACGGUAAUGGGUAAAGAAGCACCGGCUAACUACGUG
rnacentral:rRNA from 1 species